rnacentral:rRNA from 1 species
AUGCGAGCAAAUAUGGCAACUGAGAGACACGCUGGGAAGAUUUACACAAGAGAUAUGUUCGAGCAGUUUGGCCAUAUACUGUAUGAGUGUGGUGCAUAUCAGGUAGAAGAAAAAGAAAAAGGGAAAGAGUAUAUCGCAAUACAUACAGAUGCUGCACGGCGGGAGAAGUGGUGCAGAACCUCAUACAAGGUGACGGUGAUUGAAGGUGGAGAUGAAUUUGAUUGCGAGUGCGGACAGUUUGCCCACAUGGGGCUGUUGUGCAGCCAUAUACUGAAGGUAAUGGACUUCAUUCGUGUGACAGAAAUCCCAAAGAAGCACAUUGUGAAAAGGUGGACACGAGAUGCGAGAGAUGUGCUUCCAGCCCACCUGAUGCAGUAC